CCUACGGGACGCAGCAGUGAGGAAUAUUGGUCAAUGGGAGAGAUCCUGAACCAGCCAAGCCGCGUGAGGGAAGACGGCCCUAUGGGUUGUAAACCUCUUUUGUCGGAGAACAAAACCCGGGACGUGUCCCGGACUGCGUGUAUCCGAAGAAAAAGCAUCGGCUAACUCCGUGCCAGCAGCCGCGGUAAUACGUAGGGGGCAAGCGUUAUCCGGAAUCACUGGGUGUAAAGGGAGCGUAGACGGCUGUGCAAGCCUGAAGCGAAAGGCGGGGGCCCAACCCCCGGACUGCUUUGGGAACUGUACGG
rnacentral:rRNA from 1 species